rnacentral:rRNA from 1 species
AGUGAACGCUGGCGGUAUGCCUAAUACAUGCAAGUCGAACGACAAGACAGUAAGAUCGUGCUCUUACGGUUGGCGAGUGGCGGAUGGGUGAGGAAUACAUCGGAAUCUACUUUUUCUUGGAGGACAACGGAAGGAAACUGACACUACUACCUCAUACGUCCUACGGCUUAAAGCAGUAGUGCUUCGGACCUUUGCUGUCUCAUUUAGCCGAUGUCGGAUUAGCUAGUUGGCGAGGUAAGGGCCCACCAAGGCGACGAUGCGUAGCUGGUCUGAGAGGAUGAUCAGCCACACUGGAACUGAGACACGGUCCAGACUCCUACGGGAGGCAGCAGUAGGGAAUAUUGCGCAAUGGGCGAAAGCCUGACGCAGCAACGCCGCGUGGGUGAAGAAGGCCUUCGGAUCGUAAAACCCUUUUAUUGGGAAAGAACAGAAGCGUAUGUAACCACCGAUGUCCUGACGGUACCCAAACAAUAAGCAACGGCUAACCACGUG